rnacentral:tRNA from 1 species
GCUUCUAAAGGAUAGCAGUCAUCCGUUGGUCUUAGGCUCCAUUAACCCUUGGUGCAAAUCCAAGUGGAAGCU